AACUGCAGGUAUAAGAAAGAACUAUGUACAUUUAAAAUAAUAAUAAUAAUAAGUAUUGAUUCACCAUCACCACAACUUUGACUAAGCAUUCAAAGAAUUCAAAAUAAUUAUGAAACUUAUUUUAAUGUCAAAUUGUCUAAUUUAGAUGCAAGCAGCACCAGUGCUGAGGCAGGAAAUAGUGCACCUCAAGUAAAGGACGUGCCCAAAGCUGAUGCAGCUAAAUCCAGCAUGGAAGAGCCUGAGGAGGAUGAAGCUCCAGACUCAGAGGAGGCGGCGGCAGCGGCGGCUGUGAAACCUGCUCCGGUCCCAGUCCAGCGUGCAACCAAAUCCCAUAAUGCAUCAGCACGCAAGCGGAGCAAGCCCGUCCCUGCCUCAAAAAAGAGAUCAAGAAACCUCCGUCCCUGAGACGUGAACUGUGGCGAGAGAAACAGGGCAAAGCUGCAAUGACAAGGCAGUAAUAGAAGGAGGAGAAAAACAAGUGAUAUAAAUGUGUUCAGUGGCAUUUUUUUUUUUUUUUUUUUUUUAUAAUUU
ensembl:lncRNA